rnacentral:rRNA from 1 species
CCUACGGGUGGCAGCAGUGGGGAAUAUUGCACAAUGGGGGAAACCCUGAUGCAGCGACGCCGCGUGAGUGAAGAAGUAAUUCGUUAUGUAAAGCUCUAUCAGCAGGGAAGAAAAUGACGGUACCUGAGUAAGAAGCACCGGCUAACUACGUGCCAGCAGCCGCGGUACUACGUAGGGGGCAAGCGUUAUCCGGAUUUACUGGGUGUAAAGGGAGCGUAGACGGCAGUGCAAGUCUGGAGUGAAAGGCGGGCGGCCAACCCCCGGACUGCUGUGGAAACUGUACGGCUGGAGUGCAGGAGAGGUAAGUGGAAUUCCUGGUGUAGCGGUGAAAUGCGUAGAUAUUAGGAGGAACACCAGUGGCGAAGGCGGCUUACUGGACUGUAACUGACGUUGAGGCUCGAAAGCGUGGGGAGCAAACAGGAUUAGAUACCCUAGUAGUC